rnacentral:rRNA from 1 species
GGAAUAUUGGGCGAUGGGCGCAAGCCUGACCCAGCCACGCCGCGUGAGUGAUGAAGGCCUUCGGGUCGUAAAGCUCUGUGGGGAGGGAAGAAAAGCUACGGGUUAAUACCCCGGAGUUUUGACGGUACCUCCUUAGCAAGCACCGGCUAACCACCUGCCAGCAGCCGCGGUAAUACGUGGGGUGCAAACGUUGCUCGGAAUUAUUGGGCGUAAAGCGAACGUAGGCGGCUAUCUAAGUCGCAUGUGAAAGCCCCAGGCUUAACCUGGGAAGUGCAUGCGAUACUGGAUAGCUUGAGUACUAGAGGGGGUCGCGGAAUUCCCGGUGUAGAGGUGAAAUUCGUAGAUAACGGGAGGAACACCAGUGGCGAAGGCGGCGACCUGGAUAGAUACUGACGCUGAGGUGCGAAAGCGUGGGGAGCAAAC